rnacentral:rRNA from 1 species
GAUGAACGCUGGCGGCGUGCCUAAUACAUGCAAGUCGAGCGAACGGACGCGAAUCUUGCUUCUCUGAUGUUAGCGGCGGACGGGUGAGUAACACGUGGAUAACCUACCUAUAAGACUGGGAUCACUUCGGGAAACCGUAUCUAAUACCGUAUAAUAUUUUGCACCGCAUGGUUCAAAAGUGAAAGACGGUCUUGCUGUCACUUAUAGAUGGAUCCGCGCUGCAUUAGCUAGUUGGUAAGGUAACGGCUUACCAAGGCAACGAUGCAUAGCCGACCUGAGAGGGUGAUCGGCCACACGGGAAGUGAGACACAGUCCAGACUCCUGCGGGAGGCAGCAGUAGGGAAUCUUACGCAAUGGGGGAGAGCCUGACAGAGCAACGCGGCGUGAGUGAUGAAGGUCUUCGGAUCGUAAAAAGAUGUUAUUAGGGGAGAACAUAUGUGUAAGUAACUGUGCACAUCUUGACGGUACCUAAUCAGAAAGCCACGGCUAACUACGUG